rnacentral:rRNA from 1 species
UCAAGCUACAAAGGGCGCAUGGUGAAUGCCUUGGCAUCAGGAGCCGAUGAAGGACGUGAUAAGCUGCGAUAAGCUUCGGGUAGGCGCACAUAGCCAGUGAUCCGGAGAUUUCCGAAUGAGGGAACUCACAUGGGAAACCCCAUGUACCGUAUAGUGAAUACAUAGCUAUACGGAGGUAAACCUAGGGAACUGAAACAUCUAAGUACCUAGAGGAAGAGAAAGAAAAAUCGAUUUUCUGAGUAGCGGCGAGCGAAAGGGAAAGAGCCCAAACCAGUGACUUGUCACUGGGGUUGCGGACAGAACAUUAACGAGAAGAUGUUGUUAACCGAACAUAACUGGAAAGUUAGACCGUAGGAGGUAAUAGUCCUGUAGGUGAAAGCGACAUUAAUCAAGUUCUGAUCCAGAGUACCACGAGACACGUGAAACCUUGUGGGAAGCAGGGAGGACCACCUCCCAAGGCUAAAUACUACCUGAUGACCGAUAGUGAAGCAGUACCGUGAGGGAAAGGUGAAAAGAACCCCGGGAGGGGAGUGAAAUAGAACCUGAAACCGUGUGCCUACAACCGGUCAAAGCCCCUUAUGAGGGUGAUGACGUGCUUUUUGUAGAACGAGCCAACGAGUUACGGUAUGUAGCAAGGUUAAGUACUUAAGGUACGGAGCCGAAGGGAAACCGAGUCUUAAUAGGGCGACUAGUUGCAUGCCGUAGACCCGAAACCGGGUGACCUAUCCAUGGCCAGGUUGAAGCGAGGGUAAAACCUCGUGGAGGACCGAACCACGUUGCUGUUGAAAAAGCAUGGGAUGAGCUGUGGAUAGCGGAGAAAUUCCAAUCGAACUCGGAGAUAGCUGGUUCUCCCCGAAAUAGCUUUAGGGCUAGCGUCGAGAGAGAGUCAUGUGAAGGUAGAGCACUGAAUAUGUGAUGGCCCCAUCCCGGGGUACUGAAUAUAAUCAAACUCCGAAUGUCACAGAGACAUGCUCGGCAGUCAGACAGCGGGUGAUAAGGUCCACUGUCAAGAGGGAAACAGCCCAGACCAUCAGCUAAGGUCCCAAAAUAUAUACUAAGUGGAAAAGGAUGUGGAGAUGUCCAGACAACUAGGAGGUUGGCUCAGAAGCAGCCAUCCUUUAAAGAGUGCGUAACAGCUCACUAGUCGAAUGACUCUGCGCCGAUAAUUUACCGGGGCUAAGUAUAUUACCGAAGCUAUGGAUUUGCGAUGAGCAAGUGGUAGGGGAGCGUUCUAUGAGCGAAGAAGCAGUACCGGAAGGAGCUGUGGAGCAUAUAGAAGAGAGAAUGCCGGUGUGAGUAGCGGAACGUGGGUGAGAAUCCCACGCACCGAAAACCCAAGGUUUCCAGAGGAAGGUUCGUCCGCUCUGGGUAAGUCGGGACCUAAGGCGAGGCCGAGAGGCGUAGUCGAUGGACAACAGGUAGAGAUUCCUGUACUUACGGUAUGAAUGAAGGAGUGACGGAGAAGGCUAGGUGAUCCUGCGGCUGGAAGAGCAGGUGCAAGCGAGGUAGCAGAUAUCCAGGCAAAUCCGGAUAUCGGGAAAGCGAAGGCGUGAAGCGGAUGGAAAGCCAAGGCAAGUACAGAAGUCAUUGAAGCCAGCUUCCAAGAAAAGCUUCUAGUGAUAAUCAUACAGUAACCCGUACCGAAAAUGGACACACAUGGGUGAGGAGAGAAUCCUAAGGUGAGCGAGAGAACUAUAGCUAAGGAACUCUGCAAAAUGACUCCGUAACUUAGGGAGAAGGAGUGCUCAUAGAGAUAUGAGCCGCAGUGAAACGGCCCAAGCGACUGUUUACCAAAAACACAGCUCUAUGCUAAGUCGAAAGACGACGUAUAUGGGGUGACGCCUGCCCGGUGCUGGAAGGUUAAGAGGAUGUGUCAGCGCAAGCGAAGCACUGAAUUGAAGCCCCAGUAAACGGCGGCCGUAACUAUAACGGUCCUAAGGUAGCGAAAUUCCUUGUCAGGUAAGUUCUGACCCGCACGAAAGGCGUAACGAUUUGGGCGCUGUCUCAGCUGUAGACUCGGUGAAGUCUUAGUACCUGUGAAGAUGCAGGUUACCCGCGACUAGACGGAAAGACCCCAUGGAGCUUUACUGUAGCUUGAUAUUGGACUUUGAUGCAGGAUGUACAGGAUAGGUAGGAGACUGAGAGACAUGCACGCCAGUGUGUGAGGAGUCGCUGUUGGGAUACUACUCUUCCUGUAUUGGAGUUCUAACCGGAUGCCAUAAGCUGGCAACGGGACAGUGUCAGGUGGGCAGUUUGACUGGGGCGGUCGCCUCCCAAAGAGUAACGGAGGCGCCCAAAGAUACCCUCAGCUUGGAUGGAAAUCAAGCGCAGAGUGCAAAGGCAAAAGGGUGUUUGACUGCGAGACCAACAAGUCGAGCAGGGACGAAAGUCGGGCUUAGUGAUCCGGUGGUUCCGAGUGGAAGGGCCAUCGCUCAACGGAUAAAAGCUACCCUGGGGAUAACAGGCUGAUACCCCCCAAGAGUUCACAUCGACGGGGGUGUUUGGCACCUCGAUGUCGGCUCGUCGCAUCCUGGGGCUGUAGUAGGUCCCAAGGGUUGGGCUGUUCGCCCAUUAAAGAGGUACGCGAGCUGGGUUCAGAACGUCGUGAGACAGUUCGGUCCCUAUCCGCUGUGGGCGUUGGAAAUUUGAGUGGAGCUGUCCCUAGUACGAGAGGACCGGGAUGGACGUAGCUCUGGUGCACCAGUUGUUCUGCCAAGAGCAUAGCUGGGUAGCUACCUACGGACGGGAUAAGCGCUGAAAGCAUCUAAGUGCGAAGCCCCCCACAAGAAAAGAUUUCCUCCUUUAAGGUAAGACCCGUGAGAGACUAUCACGUUGAUAGGCCUCAGGUGUAAGUGCAGUAAUGCAUUCAGCUGAGAGGUACUAAUAGGUCGAACGCUUAACCAA